rnacentral:misc_RNA from 1 species
GAUGAAGAACGUAGCGAAAUGCGAUAAGUAGUGUGAAUUGCAGAAUUCAGUGAAUCAUCGAAUCUUUGAACGCACAUUGCGCCCCUUGGUAUUCCAUGGGGCGUGCCUGUUCGAGCGUCAUUUGUACCCUCCAGCCCUGCUGGGUGUUGGGCGUUUUGUUCCGCCGCGCGCGUGAACUCGCCUCAUAUGCAUUGGCAGCCAGCCGUCCCGCGUGGGAGCGCAGCACAUUUUGCGCUCUCCGCUGGGUGCGGCGGCGUCCACAAGCCUAUACCUUUACGCUUGACCUCGGAUCAGGUAGGGAUACCCGCUGAACUUAAGCAUAUCAAAAGCGGAGGA